AAUCCUGGCUCAGGACGAACGCUGGCGGCGUGCUUAACACAUGCAAGUCGAACGAGAAUCUACUGAAAGAGUUUUCGGACAAUGGAAGUAGAGGAAAGUGGCGGACGGGUGAGUAACGCGUGAGGAACCUGCCUUGAAGAGGGGGACGAACAGUUGGAAACGACUGCUAAUACCGCAUGAUGCAUAAGGGUCGCAUGAUUCUUAUGCCAAAGAUUUAUCGCUUCAAGAUGGCCUCGCGU
rnacentral:rRNA from 1 species